GACGAACGCUGGCGGCGUGCUUAACACAUGCAAGUCGAGCGGUAAGGCCCUUUCGGGGGUACACGAGCGGCGGACGGGUGAGUAACACGUGGGUGACCUGCCCUUAGCUCUGGGAUAAGCCUGGGAAACUGGGUCUAAUACCGGAUAUGACUCCAUGACGCAUGUUGUGGGGUGGAAAGUCUUGUGCGGCUAGGGAUGGGCCCGCGGCCUAUCAGCUUGUUGGUGGGGUGAUGGCCACCAAGGCGACGACGGGUAGCCGGCCUGAGAGGGCGACCGGCCACACUGGGACUGAGACACGGCCCAGACUCCUACGGGAGGCAGCAGUGGGGAAUCUUGCGCAAUGGGCGAAAGCCUGACGCAGCGACGCCGCGUGGGGAUGACGGCCUCGG
rnacentral:rRNA from 1 species